CACCAGACUCCUACGGGAGGCAGCAGUGGGGAAUAUUGCACAAUGGGGGAAACCCUGAUGCAGCAACGCCGCGUGAGUGAAGAAGUAUUUCGAUAUGUAAAGCUCUAUCAGCAGGGAAGAAGAUGACGGUACCUGAGUAAGAAGCCCCGGCUAACUACGUGCCAGCAGCCGCGGUAAUACGUAGGGGGCAAGCGUUAUCCGGAUUUACUGGGUGUAAAGGGGGCGCAGACGGCGAUGCAAGCCAGGAGUGAAAGCCCGGGGCCCAACCCCGGGACUGCUCUUGGAACUGCGUGGCUGGAGUGCAGGAGGGGCAGGCGGAAUUCCUGGUGUAGCGGUGAAAUGCGUAGAUAUCAGGAGGAACACCGGUGGCGAAGGCGGCCUGCUGGACUGCAACUGACGUUGAGGCCCGAAAGCGUGGGGAGCAAACAGGAUUAGAUACCCCUGUAG
rnacentral:rRNA from 1 species